ensembl:piRNA 21ur-2433 ncRNA
UAUGCCCUUCACUGUGUGAAU